rnacentral:rRNA from 1 species
UACAGAGGUCUCAAGCGUUGUUCGGAUUCAUUGGGCGUAAAGGGCGCGUAGGCGGCGGGGUAAGUCGGGUGUGAAAUCUCAGAGCUCAACUCUGAAACUGCACUCGAUACUGCUCUGCUUGAGGACUGGAGAGGAGACUGGAAUUCACGGUGUAGCAGUGAAAUGCGUAGAUAUCGUGAGGAAGACCGGUGGCGAAGGCGGGUCUCUGGGCAGUAACUGACGCUGAGGAGCGAAAGCGUGGGGAGCGAACAGG